GAUGAACGCUGGCGGCGUGCCUAAUACAUGCAAGUCGAGCGAACGGACGAGAAGCUUGCUUCUCUGAUGUUAGCGGCGGACGGGUGAGUAACACGUGGAUAACCUACCUAUAAGACUGGGAUAACUUCGGGAAACCGGAGCUAAUACCGGAUGAUAUUUUGAACCGCAUGGUUCAAAAGUGAAAGACGGUCUUGCUGUCACUUAUAGAUGGAUCCGCGCUGCAUUAGCUAGUUGGUAAGGUAACAGCUUACCAAGGCAACGAUGCAUAGCCGACCUGAGAGGGUGAUAGGCCACACUGGAACUGAGACACGGUCCAGACUCCUACGGGAGGCAGCAGUAGGGAAUCUUCCGCAGUGGGCGAAAGCCUGACGGAGCAACGCCGCGUGAGUGAUGAAGGUCUUCGGAUCGUAAAACUCUGUUAUUAGGGAAGAACAUAUGUGUAAGUAACUGUGCACAUCUUGACGGUACCUAAUCAGAAAGCCACGGCUAACUACGUG
rnacentral:rRNA from 1 species